rnacentral:rRNA from 1 species
UACGUAGGGUGCAAGCGUUGUCCGGAAUUAUUGGGCGUAAAGGGCUCGUAGGCGGUCCAUCGCGUCGGGAGUGAAAAGCUGGGGCUCAACCCCAGUCCUGCUUCCGAUACGGGUGGACUAGAGGUAGGCAGGGGAGAACGGAAUUCCUGGUGUAGCGGUGAAAUGCGCAGAUAUCAGGAAGAACACCCGUGGCGAAGGCGGCUCUCUGGGACGGUACUGACGCUGAGACGCGAAAGCGUGGGGAGCGAACAGG